AGCAGCCGCGGUAAUUCCAGCUCCAAUAGCGUAUAUUAAAGUUGCUGCAGUUAAAAAGCUCGUAGUUGAAUUUCGGGAUCGAUAUAUCGGUCGUGCCUCGGUACGUACUGGUAUUUUCGGUUUCUACCUUCUGACGAACCUUGAUGUCAUUAAUUUGGUGUCUUGGGGAAUCAGGACUGUUACUUUGAAAAAAUUAGAGUGUUUAAAGCAGGCUCACGCUUGAAUACAUUAGCAUGGAAUAAUGAAAUAGGACGUUUGAUUCUAUUUUGUUGGUUUCUAGGAUCGACGUAAUGAUUAAUAGGGGUAGUUGGGGGCAUUAGUAUUCAAUUGUCAGAGGUGAAAUUCUUGGAUUUAUUGAAGACUAACUACUGCGAAAGCAUUUGCCAAGGAUGUUUUCAUUAAUCAAGAACGAAAGUUAGGGGAUCGAAGACGAUCAGAUACCGUCGUAGUCUUAACCAUAAACCAUGCCGACUAGGGAUCGGAUGAUGUUAAUUUUUAAUGACUCAUUCGGCGCCUUACG
rnacentral:rRNA from 1 species